AGAACGAACGCUGGCGGCAUGCCUAAUACAUGCAAGUCGAACGAACUCUUCGGAGUUAGUGGCGCACGGGUGCGUAACGCGUGGGAAUCUGCCCUUGGGUUCGGAAUAACAGUUGGAAACGACUGCUAAUACCGGAUGAUGACGAAAGUCCAAAGAUUUAUCGCCCAGGGAUGAGCCCGCGUAGGAUUAGCUAGUUGGUGAGGUAAAGGCUCACCAAGGCGACGAUCCUUAGCUGGUCUGAGAGGAUGAUCAGCCACACUGGGACUGAGACACGGCCCAGACUCCUACGGGAGCAGCAGUAGGGAAUAUGGACAAUGGGCGAAAGCCUGAUCCAGCAAUGCCGCGUGAGUGAUGAAGCCUUAGGUUGUAAAGCUCUUUACCGAGAUGAUAAUGACAGUACCGGAGAAUAAGACCCCGGCUAACUCCGUGCCAGCAGCCGC
rnacentral:rRNA from 1 species